UUUAAGUGGGGCAGGAAGCUUCAUAUCCCAUAAUGAAAGACCCCCAGACUUGGGGAGACUCUCGCUCCAGUCACGGGUUGAGGUACCCCCAGGAAACACGAGAAGCC
rnacentral:pre_miRNA from 14 species